AUACGGAGGGGGUUAGCGUUGUUCGGAAUUACUGGGCGUAAAGCGCGCGCAGGCGGUCUUUUAAGUUGGAUGUGAAAGCCUACGGCUCAACCGUAGAACUGCAUCCAAAACUAUUAGACUAGAGUGUGGGAGAGGAAGAUGGAAUUAGUUGUGUAGGGGUAAAAUCCGUAGAGAUAACUAGGAAUACCAAAAGCGAAGGCAAUCUUCUGGAACACUACUGACGCUGAGGCGAGAAAGCGUGGGGAGCAAACAGGAUUAGAAACCCCGGUAGUCC
rnacentral:rRNA from 1 species